UACGAAGGGUGCAAGCGUUAAUCGGAAUUACUGGGCGUAAAGCGUGCGUAGGCGGUUCGUUAAGUCUGUCGUGAAAGCCCUGGGCUCAACCUGGGAAUGGCGAUGGAUACUGGCGAGCUAGAGUGUGAUAGAGGAUGGCGGAAUUCCCGGUGUAGCGGUGAAAUGCGUAGAGAUCGGGAGGAACAUCUGUGGCGAAGGCGGCCAUCUGAAUCAACACUGACGCUGAGGCACGAAAGCGUGGGGAGCAAACAGG
rnacentral:rRNA from 1 species